GGCUGGAUGGGGCCGUGUUAACACUGGAACUCACACAAGGAUUUGUAAGAACUCACUCAAAUGUAGAUGGAGGGGUCUUCAUGAAGCUUUGCGGCCUGGGCAGGGCCCAGACUCAAAACAGAGGGCCUGCAGUCGGAAAGGCUAGACCUCAUCCCCUCAGGGGUGGACCUAACAGGCUCAGUGAGCAGGAAGGGAGGGGAGAAGAGGGGAGAGGGAAGGAAGGAGAGAGGAAGAGGAGGACGGAGGCAAAGGAGGCGGGAGGAAGGGCUGUUUCAAGCUUCAGCCUUCCUACCCUUUCUGAGCUACUGAGAGUUGUAUUGUGUGUGUUUUGCGGCCUUCCAGAAGGCUCUCCACUUCCUCGUGUUGCUUCUUCCCAUUUUACCAGCCAUCAGUUUGCAAACUCCAAAGCGGAUGAACAUUUCUGACGGUCAUGAAGGUGAGCUUCUUCCUGUCCGGUGACCCACCAGGCUCUUCCACGUGGUAGCCCGGACGUUAACCUGCAAGCCCCGCCUGCCCAAAGAUCAGCUGAAUGACCAAAAGGGAGGAGGAGAGGAGAGAGGAGAGAGCAAGGGAGAUGCUCGGAGCCACCAGGCAGCCACUGGCCUGUAGACACGCGAAGCCGUGGAAGAAGAUACACAGAAGCAAAGAAAAGUACAAAGCCCGGAGACAAAAGACUUCUGCCUCAGCUCAGAGGAGAUGAUUUGAAAAGUCAGACGCGGGGCGUUGACUUUGAAGCUCUUGCCUUGUGCUGGAUGCGCCUGCUGAGUCACCGCGCAGCUCUGUGAGGUAUUUCUGUGAGCCUAAGAAUGUGCAAGCCUCCCGUGCUUCCUUCAGGCGGAUGCGAAGUGGCCUUUACCCGGGUCCCCUCCUCAGAGGCAGCCUGGGAGCAGACAGCAGGACAACUUCCUCACCUGGUGUCUUGAUGAAGCAAAUCGGGCCUGAAGUGCUUCGGUGGCCCCAGUCCUGGGUAGAGAAAGCACUUCCCGUGACCACAAAGCCGGCUGGUUCCGCAGGGGCUCUCCUGUGUGAGCCCGGCCUUCUCAUUGGCAUGUUACGUGUGUCUGGCAGACAGGAGGAAGGGGGAGGGCCAACAGGCGUUUGCAAGCUUUGUUUGAUUGCACGUGUCCUGACUGGGAGGGCAAUUUCAAUGGUGCUUUUCAGGGGACAACAUCAUCCCCGUGACAGGCCCAUAUGAAGUUGAGCAUCUGCCUGCACCCGGCACUGUGAACAAAAACAGAACAAGUCCCAGCUUCCAGGACCCGCAGCAGAUUGAACACCUCGUCUUUAUAAUUCCUGCCUUAAUGGCUGGGAGUAUAUGCAAUGAGAGCAUUGGUGGUUGACACUUUUAAUCCCUGUAGUCCCAGCACCCGGGAGGCAGAGGCAGGAGGAUCAGAGGUUCCAGGUCACCCUCUGGUACACAGCAAACAUGAGACCUGUCUGGCUACCUGAGACCUUGUCUGAACAUCAAAAGAAGUAGCUAAAGAGACAAGAGCAGAGCUGGACCAAUUCUUACUCCUAUUGCUAGCACGUGUGAGAGGCGGCCAUGCUACCACUGCCCUCUUCCGUCACACCGUAACCCUCUUGGCCCUGGCCUUCCCCAGUUGGCUCCCUCUGCUGGCCAGGUCAUAGACUAUAGGUACCAAUCAGGACUGUAAUUAAAGCAUAGCACCUCAUCACCACACAGGACACAAACUACUAAAUGCAAACCAGAAGACAUUCACAAGUCAUUCAACUUCCCCAUUCAGCUCACUUAGGUUGGAACAGCAUGCCUUGCUUGCUACCAAGAGAAGCAAAAGCCUCAGCUCACCCUGGGCGAUGUCUUGUUUUGUGAGCUCAACACAAACUAGAGUCAGCUGGGAAGUAGGAACCUCAUUUGAAAAGUUGCCUCUGUCAGAUUAGCCUGUAGGGCAGGCACGUCUGUAGGGCAGCGGUUCUCAACCUUCCUAACGCUGUGCUCCCUUAGCACAGUUCCUCGUGUUGUGGUGACCCCCCCCCACCAUAAAAUUGUUUCAUUGUUACUUUAUAACUGUGUUUUUGCUACUGCUAUGAAUUGAAAUGUAGCUAUCUGGUACCCAACUCUGAACUCUGUUGGGGGUGGAAACCCACAGGUUUCCAAUGCUGCUGUAGGGCUUUUUUUCCUUCAAUGGUCUA